AUUGAACGCUGGCGGCAUGCUUUACACAUGCAAGUCGAACGGUAACAGGCCGCAAGGUGCUGACGAGUGGCGAACGGGUGAGUAAUGCAUCGGAACGUGCCCAGUCGUGGGGGAUAACUACUCGCAAGAGUAGCUAAUACCUCAUACGAUCUAUGGAUGAAAGCGGGGGACCGUAAGGCCUCGCGCGAUUGGAGCGGCCGAUGUCAGAUUAGGUAGUUGGUGGGGUAAAGGCUCACCAAGCCAACGAUCUGUAGCUGGUCUGAGAGGACGACCAGCCACACUGGAACUGAGACACGGCCCAGACUCCUACGGGAGGCAGCAGUGGGGAAUUUUGCGCAAUGGGCGCAAGCCUGAUGCAGCAACGCCGCGUGCAUGAAGAAGGCCUUCGGGUUGUAAACUGCUGUUAUACGGAACGAAACAGCGCUGGUUAAUACCCGGAGCUAAUGACGGUACCGAAAGAAUAAGCACCGGCUAACUACGUG
rnacentral:rRNA from 1 species